UCCUUCCUGAAGACGUUUACAACCACUUGGGUGACUGUUCUCUGUAGUUCUGUGGAAGAAAUGGGAGGGAGUUAGACCUUCGGCUACUGCUCUUAAGUAUUCUACAUUCUCUAUCCUCAGCCAAAGGCCAGUUCUAAAACCUGAAGGAAGGGCAUUUUGCUCAAGCUGAUGCUGCUUUAAAAUUGUGACCUACAAAUUAAUUGCAUAUAAAAGACUUUAAAUGUAGACACAACUUCAAAAUGAGUACCCUGGGCUCCAACUUCCAAUUGGACAGUGGCCCCCACAGCUCCAUCUACUCAGAAUCCAGAAACCACCACUACCCAUUCAUUCUGUACUGAAAGGAAAGUCAGAGCCCAUUGCAAAAGGCCACAUGCAAGGCUGGGUGUAGCCCAGUGGCUGAGUGCAGAGCGAACUCAUGCAAGGCCCUAGGUUUCAGCUCAAGCACCGCAUAAGGCGAAAGAGCCUGAUCAUGCCACCAUUUCUCAAAUGGAAGUACUCUGAUACAACACUAUUUUUAAAAAAAAUACACAAAUUUCCUUUGAAAUCUUAGGAGAAAAAGCAAUGGCAUUAAACUACAGCAUUGUGUCUUGUUUGCUAACGGGCGUCUUUCAUCUUCGUAUUAAAACUGCACUUGAAUGUAGAAGUUCAGAGUAAGAGAUUUAACCACAAACCUUGAGGAAGAUACAGAGUAGCUUGGUGAGUCAGGCAUGUCCCAACCCUGGAGCCCUAACUCAUCUGACCUAGGGAAUACAGGACCCCUAACCUAUGGAAAUAGAUCAUCUAACAUGACCAAGGGUAUGAGCUCAAGUUCAGAGCCUCCACUGGCCUGCCACAGCCAAGGCUCAGUUCCCCCACCUCAGCCACACUUAAGGAGCAUUUCUUGGUGAAUUUUUUACUGCACCAAAGAUGUGCAAGGCUGAGGCUCACUUAUCACUGUUGGUUUUGAGAACAGCUCUGUUUGUUUACAUUGUUGCUUGCAUACUGCAAACUCCACCCCCACCCCAUGAGACAAGACUUCCUUUUUUUCCCUCUGUGCAUGGCCUGCAGGAUUGGGGUGGUAGAAGAUGACAGGGACCAGAGUCUGUUUGCAGCCCUCCUCCCUUCUUCCACCAGGAGAUGCUUUGAUCUGGGGCUUCCUCAGCAGGGUUGUCCCAUGCCACAUGCCUCUUGUGGCUGAUUAGGCUAGUGUCCCCUUAUAGUUUGUGACCAAAGACUCAGAAAUCCCUCACUUAUCCCAGGAAGGGAAUCAUGACUAUAAAGCAGGGGCCAAGGACACUCAGCACUGUGACUACAUUUGGCGUUUGUGUUUUAAGGUCCAGGUCUAAAGAAAGGAGUGUGGGGUUUAGAGGCUCUUAUACCACCGUUGGAGGCUGGAUAUCUGAUCUUUCAUGUGUUUGACCUAUGCAUAUAAACUAAGAACAAAAAUCUU
rnacentral:lncRNA from 1 species